UACAGAGGGUGCGAGCGUUGUCCGGAAUCACUGGGCGUAAAGGGCGCGUAGGCGGCCUGGCAAGUAGGGGGUGAAAUCUUGCGGCUCAACUGCAAGGCUGCCUCCUAAACUGCCGGGCUGGAGCACGGUAGAGGCAGAUGGAAUUCCCGGUGUAGCGGUGGAAUGCGUAGAGAUCGGGAAGAACAUCGGUGGCGAAGGCGGUCUGCUGGGCCGUUGCUGACGCUGAGGCGCGACAGCGUGGGGAGCAAACAGG
rnacentral:rRNA from 1 species